CCAAGUUUGUAUUUUGAAAUUUUUUGAGGUCUUUUAUUUUGAAGGGUCGUAACUUUUCUUGAUUGGCGGGCGGCACCUCUCGCGAUUGCACCUUUCAGGAAGGCGGUAUCCUCCAGACGACGUCGCAUUUUUAGGCUCCGCUUGAUGACGUAUGCAGCCUGCAAAUGCGACCUCCGGAGGAUUCAGCCUUCUGUUUGAGAAACGACCCUUGGCUUGCACACACACACCUGUGUGACCACCUGCACAGGAUUGUAGCAUAUCAUCAUAUAAUUGGAUGUUAUUUCUUGGAGUGUUUGACAAAUGCCCUGUCAUCUCCCGCUGCCUUUAUCUCCCAAUUACCCCUUUUCAAACCAGUUCACUUGGAAAAUGCACUCGGAUGGCGCGGGUUACUCGACUAGGGUUCCCGGACCAGGAAGAGACUGAUAUAUUUUGUAGAGCCAUGGCAGACCCCGUUUUCAAAGAAUGUUUCAUAAAACAGGGACACUGUGGCAAGUGAAUCUAUGAGACUCUCGGUAAGAGCAUUGUGCACCUAAUUCAUACUGAUGGAUCCAGGUCAACCCGCUAAAGGCGGCAUGGCAGCUCUUUUUCCAACCUUGACUUAAAUCCAGGAUUGUUAAAAUGAUAACGUUGAAUUUUGAGAAGUAGCCCGGGCACAGUGUUUUGAUUUCUGUGUGAAAUAUUUUAAGCAAGCAUAAUAUUUAAUACAAUUUUAUGCCAGUU